rnacentral:rRNA from 1 species
UACGUAGGGGGCAAGCGUUGUCCGGAUUUAUUGGGCGUAAAGAGCGUGUAGGCGGCCAGACAGGUCCGUUGUGAAAACUCGAGGCUCAACCUCGAGACGUCGAUGGAAACCGUCUGGCUAGAGUCCGGAAGAGGAGUGUGGAAUUCCUGGUGUAGCGGUGAAAUGCGCAGGUAUCAGGAAGAACACCUAUGGCGAAGGCAGCACUCUGGGACGGUACUGACGCUGAGACGCGAAAGCGUGGGGAGCGAACAGG